AAAGCAGUGAGCAAGGUGAGAUGAAUCAUGCUUCAGACUGUCAGGGGAGCGUCAGCCUGUAUCUGUGUCCGUGGAUCAGCGUUACUAGGGCUUGGAUUCUUGCCAAUACACAGCCCUACCAGCAAGAUAUGGAUCCUCACAAGAAUGCUUCACAUUCGCUCUCUAAGAGGGAGCUUCUUCUGAGGAUUUGUAUUGUUUUGGAUGGUUUCCAUUGUCAAUAUGUUCCUACAGAGACGCUGAUCUAUAUGGAAAUGCUGUUUGACAUUGACUCUUUAGUCAUCGUAAGAGUGCAAUAGAUGCCGGAUGUUACUGUUGCAGAAUGUGGAGAGACAAUAAGAGAAGCACUUUGCAGACUUGCAGCAUCUG